CCAGAGGUUGUUAUUAGAAAAAACUCUGAGUUUGAUCUUGCUGAUACACUGGUAAGUACAACUUAAAAUGUAUUUGGUCUUUUGUUUUUAUUUGGUUGAGUGACCACAACAAGAGCAUUUUACCUAAGCUUCAUAGGACUAUGCCGAUGUUUUUAUGUGAAAUUGUGUUUCAUUUUCUUCAGCCAUGGGAACCUAUGGAUGAAAGCAGUCCUUUGCAAAAGGUGGCAGAAACAGAGAAUGGUGUUGGGGAUCUUGUACUUGCAAAUGAAGUACAACAGGUUAUGGACUUGGAUAACAAUGGCAACAAUCCAGGCACCAG